rnacentral:rRNA from 1 species
UACGAAGGGAGCUAGCGUUGUUCGGAAUAACUGGGCGUAAAGGGUGCGUAGGUGGGUGUGUGCGUUAGAUGUGAAAUCCCCGGGCUUAACCUGGGAACUGCAUUUAAUACGGCACAUCUAGAGUGCGAGAGGGGAAAGCGGAAUGGCGAGUGGAGCAGUGAAAUGCAUUGAGAUUCGCUAGAACACCAGAGGCGAAGGCGGCUUUCUGGCUCGCUACUGACACUAAGGCACGAAAGCGUGGGGAGCAAACAGG